AAUGAAGUGCCUGAUUAAAGGAUUAUCUUGAUAGGGUAAAUAAUGUAUGAUUUUACCUUCAUUA
rnacentral:tRNA from 1 species